rnacentral:rRNA from 1 species
UGAGGAAUAUUGGACAAUGGGCGCAAGCCUGAUCCAGCCAUGCCGCGUGAAUGAUGAAGGUCUUAGGAUUGUAAAAUUCUUUCACCGGGGACGAUAAUGACGGUACCCGGAGAAGAAGCCCCGGCUAACUUCGUGCCAGCAGCCGCGGUAAUACGAAGGGGGCUAGCGUUGCUCGGAAUUACUGGGCGUAAAGGGCGCGUAGGCGGACAUUUAAGUCAGGGGUGAAAUCCCAGAGCUCAACUCUGGAACUGCCUUUGAUACUGGGUGUCUUGAGUGUGAGAGAGGUAUGUGGAACUCCGAGUGUAGAGGUGAAAUUCGUAGAUAUUCGGAAGAACACCAGUGGCGAAGGCGACAUACUGGCUCAUUACUGACGCUGAGGCGCGAAAGCGUGGGGAGCAAACAGGAUUAGAUACCCGCGUAGUCCCUGAGCGGGCUGGCAAGGCGCAU